rnacentral:rRNA from 1 species
GACGAACGCUGGCGGCGUGCUUAACACAUGCAAGUCGAACGGAAAGGCCCUGCUUUUGUGGGGUGCUCGAGUGGCGAACGGGUGAGUAACACGUGAGUAACCUGCCCUUGACUUUGGGAUAACUUCAGGAAACUGGGGCUAAUACCGGAUAGGAGCUCCUGCUGCAUGGUGGGGGUUGGAAAGUUUCGGCGGUUGGGGAUGGACUCGCGGCUUAUCAGCUUGUUGGUGGGGUAGUGGCUUACCAAGGCUUUGACGGGUAGCCGGCCUGAGAGGGUGACCGGCCACAUUGGGACUGAGAUACGGCCUAGACUCCUACGGGAGGCAGCAGUGGGGAAUAUUGCACAAUGGGCGGAAGCCUGAUGCAGCAACGCCGCGUGCGGGAUGACGGCCUUCGGGUUGUAAACCGCUUUCGCCUGUGACGAAGCGUGAGUGACGGUAAUGGGUAAAGAAGCACCGGCUAACUACGUGC